AACGCGAAGAACCUUACCUGGCCUUGACAUGUCCGGAAUCCUGCUGAGAGGUGGGAGUGCUCGAAAGAGAACCGGCGCACAGGUGCUGCAUGGCUGUCGUCAGCUCGUGUCGUGAGAUGUUGGGUUGAGUCCCGCAACGAGCGCAACCCUUGUCCUUAGUUGCUACGCAAGAGCACUCUAAGGAGACUGUCGGUGACAAACCGGAGGAAGGUGGGGAUGACGUCAAGUCCUCAUGGCCCUUAUGGGUAGGGCUUCACACGUCAUACAAUGGUCGGUACAGAGGGUUGCCAAGCCGCGAGGUGGAGCCAAUCCCAGAAAGCCGAUCGUAGUCCGGAUUGGAGUCUGCAACUCGACUUCGUGAAGUCGGAAUCGCUAGUAAUCGCGGAUCAGCUAUGCCGCGGUGAAUACGUUCCCGGGUCUUGUACACACCGA
rnacentral:rRNA from 1 species